GCAGGGUUAAUAGGUAAUACAAUUGAAUAGAGUGUUAUUGUGGUUACAGCACUUAAAUCCCCGGACAUCCCGGAAAGAUAGAUGCAUUCGACCAAGUCAGAGUGCUUCUUUCGCAGAAUUCCGGUAAUCCUGGCUCAGAUGUUUCAUAGAACUGAACACCCACCUAGGAGCAGGGCCAUUUUUCAUCCCGUGUUUUCCCGACAUCAGCAUGAGACACCAACAAAGGAGGCAUGAUUUGAAGCCUCGGUGUGAGUGGUGCGGUUUGUGCAUCGGUGGCUGCUGUGCGUUGUUUUGCUGCUCUCCAUGAAUUCUGUGAAUUCUGAAGAGUUUCAGUGGUUAAAGUGCGAGGUUGUGCUAUUAUUACUGAACUUUAAAUAAAACACAAAACAAACAAACAAACGAAAUUAACAAUUCUGAUUUAAUGCUAAAUAAAAAGUUUGCGUGCCGUGGAACUGCAGGAAAAACUGGUCAAUUUAAUUAAAUCACAUCCCACACGAAUUUGUUCUGCGUGUGUACCGGGUAUUGUGGUACAACGGUGCAUAUGCUAUUUCUGAAAAGCACAAGGAUAUGGAUCUCUGCCUUUUUUUGGUCUGUUGUACUAGCUGCAUGCUCUCCGUCCAUCGGAUGUUGUUGAGCCGGAUAGGGAGCGACAUUUAACAGCACACAAACCGUACCAACGCACUGAUUCAAGCAGCAAUUGUAACUUCAUUCGCAACACCGAAGCAAAACUAUACGCGUGCCUGCUUGAUCGUAAUCGCGUGCUACGGGAUACCGGUCGGAUUCUUGUGACAGUCAUCCAUUUAACCGUCCAACGCAGGGCGCGAAGUGUGCCGGGGCGGAACCUUUAUUCGGACACUUUCGCUACGGCACACUGUGCGCACGGAAUUGUAAUUCGUGUAUUCGUGAUGCAAUCGAUUCCUGCAUGGGUUGUAAAUUUGGUGACUCUUCGCACCCCUCUGCAUGCCAUGGUGUACCUAUACGGUUCGGUUUUUCGGGUGCGUUCAUUGGAGCGCACUGUAACGAGGGUGACAUGGUAGCUGUACCUCCAGUUUCGGGCACACAAUUUAAUCGAUCAGCUUUAUUGAUCUGAAGUGGAAGAGGGUGCGGAGGAAAGAGGAGUUUUAAUGGAGACAUGUUUGUUUGGAUAGCAGGGCACUUUCUCAAGAGGAAGAAGGAAACAACAAAACAAAUCAAUUUAAGCAAAACAAAAAAAAAAAAAAACAAAA